rnacentral:rRNA from 1 species
UACGUAGGGAGCAAGCGUUGUUCGGAUUUACUGGGCGUAAAGGGCGCGUAGGCGGCGCGGUAAGUCACUUGUGAAAUCUCUGAGCUUAACUCAGAACGGCCAAGUGAUACUGCAGUGCUAGAGUGCAGAAAGGGCAAUCGGGAAUUCUUGGUGUAGCGGUGAAAUGCGUAGAUAUCAAGAGGAACACCUGAGGCGAAGGCGGGUUGCUAGGCUGACACUGACGCUGAGUGCGCGAAAGCGUGGGGAGCGAACAGG